rnacentral:rRNA from 1 species
AAACCGCCUAGAGGUAAACGGGUGGAUCCGCAAGUCGGCCCGCGAAAUUCAGCUCGGAGGGUUGGUCGAGGGCGUUAGGUCAGAGAUGCUCAUGCACUCUCCUGUCGCUCUACGCUGGCUUGACGUGUGCACUUUUCGCGGGCAGAGCGCCACGACCGGUUUUCGGGCAGUCAGAAGGCGGCGAGGAAGGUAGGCGGGCGCUUCGGCGUCUGCUGUUAUAGACUCGCCUGUCCUGACCUGCUCGGGGACCGAGGAGCCGCCGCUCGGCUGAGGCUGCCCUGCUCUCCUGGAGGGUUCGACUGGCAGAGACUGGGCAACCGUGUCUGCUGACCGCCUUUCUGGAUGGACGGGGAUGAGCCUGCCGGGCACAGGGUCGGUGGCGAAUCGGUCGGCACUCCACCCGACCCGUCUUGAAACACGGACCAAGGAGUCUAACAUGCGCGCGAGUCGUUGGGUAGUACGAAACCCGAAGGCGAAGUGAAAGCGAGGGCCGUCCUCGCGACGUGCUCAGGUGGGAUCCCGUGCUUCUUUGGCGCGGGCGCACCACUGGCCCGUCUCGUUCGCGUCGUCGAUGAGGCGGAGCAAGAGCGUGCACGUUGGGACCCGAAAGAUGGUGAACUAUGCCUGAGUAGGAUGAAGCCAGAGGAAACUCUGGUGGAGGUCCGCAGCGAUUCUGACGUGCAAAUCGAUCGUCAAACUUGGGUAUAGGGGCGAAAGACUAAUCGAACCAUCUAGUAGCUGGUUCCCUC